CAACUACUCCCUCUGUCCCAAAUUUCUUGUCUUAGAUUUGUCUAGAUACGGAUGUAUCUAAUACUAAAAUGUGACUUGAUACAUCCGUAUCUAGGCAAAUCUAAGACAAGAUUUUGGGACGGAGGGAGUACUUU
rnacentral:pre_miRNA from 1 species